rnacentral:lncRNA from 1 species
GCAUGAGUUAACAGCCCUCUGUAAUCCAAAUUUGAAAAAUGAUCAAAUGAUGAGUGCAUAAGUAAAAUGGCCUCACUUGGUGUAACUGGCAUCUUUACCAAGACGUCAUGUCUGGAAGCCGCUACCUGAAUACACCUAAGGAUAAGAAAUUAUCCUCUGUAUUCUCUUUCAUUUAUUUAAUAAACUAAAAUAGUGCUUGCUAUGAAUGGGCUUUCUAUUUUAUAAAUACUAGUUCAUUUAAUCUUCAUAACAAUCCUCUGAGUUAAGUACUACUAUCAUUGUAUUUUACAGAGGAGGAAAUCGAAGUCCAAAGAAGUUAAAUUUUUGCCCCAGGUCAUUUAGCUAGUGAGUGGUGAAUCUGGAUUCAAACCCAGGCAAUCUCAUUCCCGAAUCCAUGUUCCGUAGGUGAGGCGAAAAGAGCAGAUCUCACGGAAAGCAAACAUCAAGGAAACAGAUAUGCUUUAAAAAAUAAAUUACUGCUUCGGAAUUAGUUUACUUUCAUCUCUUUUCUUUACCAGGAAGGAAAGUAUCAUCCUCAGUGAUGAGUGUUAAGUACUACUAUACUUGUGGCUAGCAUUGAUUGCACUACUGUGUAGCAAGAAUUGUGCUGUUUUCACCAUGCAUUUCUUUGCAUAACUGUACUACAACUGCCGAGUUAUUUAUCUUUAUCCCCAUUUUGCACAUUGUGAAACUGAGGCUCAGAAACAGAAAAUAAUUAUCCCAAAGUCACACAGGAAGUAUAAAGAAUCAGGGUUGGAGCCAGAUUUGCCUGUUUUUGGAGCCCAUGCCACACACACACAAACCCUUAAAGAAAUCGAUGAAGAACUGGCAGUCCUGUGCUUUCACAUAUAGUCAAUAUAUUUGUAAAAAAUGAGGCUAAGUGUUGGAGAGGGGCCAUUGGUCUCUACAGGGGGAACCAACUGGAAUGGUGGCCCCAUGAGACCUAAGCUCCACUCCCCUGACCAGCAAGUGUUAGGUAUAUAUAUAUAUAGUCUGGUGUCUGCAGUGGAAGAGGUGGGGUCACCACCUGCAUCCAUUUCAUUUCACUCAUUCAUUGAUCCAUUCAUUCGAUGUUUUUGGAGCAUUUGCCAUGCUCUGUGCAAGGUAUCGGACACCAGGAGCUCUCUGUAGCUUUCUUUGGAAAAUUAAAGAGGCCAAUGCAAAGUAAAAGGCUUCAUAUUGCUUGCCCAUUGUUAAGUGCUCAGUAAAUCUACCAAUCCUAAUUCCAAAUGACACAUGUUCUAGAUCCCAAGUAUUAGACACCAACUGGGACUGCAGGAUGCACUCACAGCAGCUCCUCCAGGACGGAUGCUAUAAUCAUGUCCAUUUCACAGAAAUUUGGAGGAUCAGCCUGGAUGCUUAUUUUUGGAAGAAGCUGCUGGAGUGACUCCCAUGGUUGAGAAACACUGCCCCAAAUGACUGAGAAACUGUAUUGUAGUGGGGAGGGGGCAGAGCCCUCCCAGAACAAAGGGAAGGCAGCAUGCAACACCAGCAUCUGUGUGUGCCAGUGAGGUUCGACAACAAGAUAGCAUAACCUGCGUCCAUGAGCGCCGGCCUAUCUGUAACUGUCCACUCAGAAAUUAUAGAACACCUUAUAAGGGGGACAAAGGAAUCUAGAUGUGGCAGGAAACCUAACGGGGUAUAUAAGGCGACGCCCUGCUGCAUUUGGGACUCAGCCUUUGGAGAUGAAUCUGCUGAGCCAGUGCCGGCACAAAUAAACACUGCUUCCUGGCAAAAAAAAGGCCUCCGUGUCCUGUCUCCCUGUAUGUAAAUUGUAAAUCCUGCAACAGUACCUCAAGCCUAUUUAAAGAUUCUUAACUGCAAUAUGACAUCUCUGAGUCUAACUAAUUAUUUGCAAUGAAAAUACAUUGGUCCCACCGAUAGAAGCAACCCUGAGUAGUUAUGCUGCGAGCCACACG